rnacentral:rRNA from 1 species
UACGAAGGGGGCUAGCGUUGCUCGGAAUGACUGGGCGUAAAGGGCGCGUAGGCGGAUGGCACGGUCAGAUGUGAAAUUCCUGGGCUUAACCUGGGGGCUGCAUUUGAUACGUGUGAUCUAGAGUGAGGAAGAGGGUUGUGGAAUUCCCAGUGUAGAGGUGAAAUUCGUAGAUAUUGGGAAGAACACCGGUGGCGAAGGCGGCGACCUGGUCCUUAACUGACGCUGAGGCGCGAAAGCGUGGGGAGCAAACAGG